UCACUAUGAUAAAUUCUGCAGUGACUAUCUUUGUGCAUAAAACCUUUUCUGUUCCCAUCUAGGCAACUUCUAUAGAAAAAUCCACCUUCAGGAAGAGUAUUCGUGGGUCACAGUGAUGCUUCUUUCCAUGACCUUGGAAAGUUUGGCCAUGCAGAGCAUGAGCUAUGGAGCUGGAGUACCUGGGCUUAAAACCAGGCAUUUCUAGCCCUGGCCUCACCAGCCGCAUGACUUGAGGCCUGACACUUAGUAGAGAGGAAAAUAUACAAAUGGCCAAUAAGCACAUGAGCACAUCAUUUGUCAUCAGGGAAAUGAAAAUCCAAACCACAAUGAGAUAGCACAUCACACCUACUCGUACAGCUAGCAAAAGAUGGGAUAAUAACAAGCCUUCAUGAGGAUCUGGAAAAAUUGGAGCCUUCCUACACUGCUGAUGGGAUAUAAAAUG